rnacentral:rRNA from 1 species
AGAAGUUAGACCAUGCCCCUUGAGUUCUCAGAUGCUGUGUCUUUAGAGUCGGAUUGCUUGAGAAUGCAGUCCAAAGUUGGUGGUAAACUCCAUCAAAGGCUAAAUACCUGCGUGAGUCCGAUAGCUAACAAGUACCGUGAGGGAAAGUUGAAAAGUACUCUAAAUAGAGAGUAAACAGUACGUGAAACUACAUGGAGGUUAACCGAACGGAGUCAGACUUCUAGACUAUGGUGGUUUAGCUGAGAAUAUUGCAAGGUGAGCAUUGCUUCAGGUUUGCUUAAACUCUUUCGUGUGCUUUUGUUGCAUUGAACGAGUCUGUCGCAAGUAGCUUACUUCUCAGUGUUUCCAUUAUGGUUAGCGACUCACUCAAUGUCCGCUUUUCGCUUGCUCGAUAAACACUUUGGGUUCUGGGCAACCAGGAUUCUUUGUGGUGGCAGAAACUGGAGUUCCUUCGGGUUCGCUGGUUACUUGGCUUAGGCCUGCUUUCGAGAUAAGUGGAAUAGUGGUGCAUUGGUUGAUUGUCAAAGUGUGCGUGUUGAUGAAUUCUUGGCGUGGUAUGGCUUCGACACUAAGUGUGGUGCUGUGCUGCGUUGAGUUGGAUUUGACUCGUGCCUUUGAUAUUAAGUGAGUCGUCGUAAGGAGAUUUUCUGUUCGACCCGUCUUGAAACACGGACCAAGAAGUUUAACAUGUAUGCAAGUCAAUGGGUCUAUGAAACUCUAUGGCGCAAUGAAAGUAAAAGGUUGCUUCAGUGACCUUAGGUGUGAUCCUGUUGAUUCCCUUGUGGUUUUAUGGGCGCAACACCGGCCCGCCUAUUCGUAUAGUUA